UACGGAGGGGGCUAGCGUUGUUCGGAAUUACUGGGCGUAAAGCGCGCGUAGGCGGAUCUGCAAGUCGGGGGUGAAAUCCCGAGGCUCAACCUCGGAACUGCCUUCGAUACUGCGGGUCUCGAGUCCGGGAGAGGUGAGUGGAAUUCCUAGUGUAGAGGUGAAAUUCGUAGAUAUUAGGAAGAACACCAGUGGCGAAGGCGGCUCACUGGCCCGGUACUGACGCUGAGGCGCGAAAGCGUGGGGAGCAAACAUG
rnacentral:rRNA from 1 species